AUUGAACGCUGGCGGCAGGCCUAACACAUGCAAGUCGAACGAGUGGCGGACGGGUGAGUAAUGUCUGGGAAACUGCCUGAUGGCGGGGGAUAACUCCUGGAAACGGUAGCUAAUACCGCAUACCAUCGGAUGUGCCCAGAUGGGAUUAGCUAGUAGGUGGGGUACAGGCUCACCUAGGCGACGAUCCCUAGCUGGUCUGAGAGGAUGACCAUCCACACUGGAACGGGGAGACGGUCCGGACGCCAACGGGAGGGAGCAGUGGGGAAUAUUGCACAAUGGGCGCAAGCCUGAUGCAACCAUGCCGCGUGUAUGAAGAAGGCCUUCGGGUUGUAAAGUACUUUAAGCGGGGGGGCGUUACCCGCAGAAGAAGCGCCGGCGAACUCCGUGCCAGCAGCCGCGGUAAUUC
rnacentral:rRNA from 1 species